UAGGUUGGUCUCUGAGCUAGGCUAGGCUAUGCUACGCUAGGCAAGACAAGGCACGCAACGCUACUGCUGACACGGCAGUCACACCGACCUCGAACUCCCUUCAAUGGUUCCUUGCAUGACUUGAAAUUUUGAAACUUGACAACACAGUCAAAUGGAGACAGAAAGGUUGCUCAUUCGCUGCUCAUCUUCACGAAAGGCAUGCCUGGAAGCCAUGCGUGUCUUGCUUCUUACGCUGCCUUGGACACAACGUGCCAUUCUUCACACACACCAGGGUUGUGUGAAGUCAGGAACGUUCCAGCUGCUUCCCG